rnacentral:lncRNA from 1 species
CAGGACACCCAAAUAUGAAGAGUACAAGACCGCAGUAGCCUGGCCAGUGCACACAAUGGAAGUGACAGCUUUCAGCCCCUCCAGCCCUGAUCCCUGGAUUCCAACUCCCUACUACCUCCUCCCAGCACCUCAGGAGUGGGGAGGAAGUGUCCAAGAGAGCCGAACAUUCUCCCUGUUCCUCCCUGCUCCUCCCAGGCCUUUCUGGGAAAGCCUGGGGACAGAACUGCCCACCUCCUGACAGCUUGUAAAGUGAAGAGUCAGCUUUGGGCUUUUGAGGAAGGACUGGAAGUGCCCGGCCACUCCCAUCCCCGGAUCCAGGAUGAUGACCCUAAGGGCAGAGCUUCCUCCAUCUUCUAGAAGAAUAUCGAAACCAGGCAGAGUUGGAAAAGGAAGGGAAGGGAAGCAGCCAGGUGUGUGACAACCUCAUCUUUUCACCUUCCUCGGUAUUUGUAUCUAGUUUCUGUUUCACUGCUGCCACAUAUAAGAAUCUGUGACUGUGCCUAUUUCUUAAUGAAAUUCCGAGGGCAGCACAUAUGAUUAGUGACAGGCUUUUGUAAGCCAUCUGAUAAGACAACACUCGAAAAACAUUAGGCUUUAGAACUUAAUCCAUUUUAAAUAAAGAUAUUUGUGCUUUGUUUGUAGAUUUAUGUCUUUAGAGGUGUAUUUACUUUAUGGUCUGUUACACCUAAAAAAAAAAAAUCAACUUUCUUUUCAAGAAGGUAGGUCUGCUCAGGAAAAAAAGAUUGUACUCCUAAGCUGUUUUUUACAUAUAUACAUACUUUUAUAACUCCUUUCUCAAAUAGUUUCUUUUACAAAGAGUGUGCUUAUUUCUAAUUAUCUCCAUACUGCUUAAUCACUGGGACCCAAAGUAAGCUACUAAGAUGAAAAAUUCUGAGGCAAUACAAACCAAAAUGCUAAGUUAUCAAUCACAACUCAUUUCUAUCUUUUUUUAAAAAAAAUCCUAAUUAUUAACAUUUACAAAGGCAAGGGAGAAAAGUGCUGGCGGAGGCACCUUCCAACUCCAACUCCAACCUCUGACAGAAUCGAGCUGGUUAAAAGGCUUUGGAAUUCUUAAACUCAGUUUAGAGAGUUUCCCCCUGAGACCUUCAAGAGGUCACCGUGUACCAAGAGUAACCACGGCAUCUGGUCAAGGCAGAGGAACCUGCCUCACAGCUGAGUUUACCAAGCUAAGGUACACGGUACAGACAGCCACAAGUUCUUCAACUGAGGACUGGCUGACCGUCUGGUCACCUACAAUCUCCCUCCCAAGAUCCACUUCCUCAAAUUAUCCCUGCUUGUGUUUGAGCAUUUACAGACUAGUUAGGGUUACUGGCUUCCCGACCCCUGUGCGUUCUCAGGCUGUCGAUAAGCCCUCACCGUCUGCUCAGUCUCUGCUAAGCUGCUGCCUAAAGUUCCGUGAGCAACUUGGAAAGUUGCUAUAAAAGCUUGAAAUAGAGACACAUUAAAUGUUUUUUGGAGCACAUACAGACCCGCCUAAAAUGUAAACAGAAUACCUGCUGCUGGCCCAGGCUCUUAGAAAAUGAGGAAUGACGGAAUGGGAGCGGUGGAAUGGUCUUCCUACAGAUAACAAGGGCCAUUUCAGUGAGAUGCUUGCCACCUCUGCCUGCAUCUUGGCGAGUUCAACAGUGCAGUAACUUUGUUGUCUGAAGUCAGUGGUGAUGACAGGAGGCAUCCCGUUUUAAAAAGAAGAAAACACAACCAGAGGAAAUGGAGAUAAGGUUUCUGAGGAAGUUCUCCUUCCACUGGAUGGUCUUUUGCUGUUGCUCCACCUUAAAGCGGCUUCCAAGAUGUUUAGAAUUUCCCUAGAUUUAUGGUACUUUUCCUUUAGUGAAAAGACAAUACCUUCUCCUCACAAAGGUUCUCUGUUUGCACGCACGCUAAGAAAACAAAACAAAACAACCCCCCCCCCAACAAAAAACUGCCUAAGGGCAUCCUUUGUCACCUAAGAAUAUGGCACAAGUCUGCCAUUUUAGAGAUGAAAAAAACUAAGACUAACCAUAAUUAAGACUGGGUUUGGGUUAAGGGCUCCUAACAGAUCACAGUAGACAAUUAAAGGGCCUUUUGAAGGAAUCAUAGCAAGAGGUAGGCAGGGAUGCUCACACAAUCUGGCAGAUUGAAUUCACUCCCCAAACUCAAUUCUUUGCUCUAAAAUGAAUGUCAAUCAAAGGGCUGCACUGGAAACUGUUGGGGGAAUAAAGCUCUACUGCUGGACCAGUGGGAACAGAACACAUCUUCCUACCUUGUCAAAGAAUGGUCCUAACUCCAUCAGGACUCGGCAGCCAUUCCUGAACCGAGGCAAGGGAUUCCAUUUACAGUUCAAAACUGAGCUAAGUAUUAUUUUCCUGACAUUAGACCUUCAGAGUGAUUCACACACAGGAACUGUCUCUGGAGCAGGAGCCUCUGUUUCACGGAACCUAUUAAAUUAUCUCUUCAGCAAGUUACCCACUAGCCAAGUACACUUACAUAAUCCAACAUAUUCUAAAAAUAUAAAUACUUAGUCUUGAAGAUUUAUGAUGGGUUCUCAUUAUAUAAAUCUCU